GAAUAUAUUUUACAAAGUCAAGGAUUAAAGUGACCAAUGCUUACAAUCUUAGGGAUUAAACUGGGGUUUAUUUACUUUUGGGUUUCCAUAAAGGUGUAAUAAUGUCUCCUUGUUCCACAGUUUCCAGGAGACAAAUCUAGUCAUGCUGAAAAUCCAGGUUCACAGCCAUUGGAACCUGGUGAGAGUAAAAGAGGACAUAAUCAACUUCCCAAACUAAAAAUGGUAGAGAAGCAGCACAAUCAUGUGAUGCCUCUGCUUCCAACACCAGGAUCUGCUGCUGAUGGGCAUACCAAGAUGGAAACAAAAAUGAUUGAUUUGAACAUGAAGCCUAAUAACAGAUUACAUGAACAAGCAUCAAAUAAUCAGCCAUAAAUGGUACAACCAGGCAAUGCAGUUCUUGCAGGAUUCUACACCAAAAAUAUAGUACUGGCAAAAGCUUCUCAUGCAUGUUAAUGACAAGGAUGACAAAGAUAUUCUGUUAACAUCCUAUUCUGGUAAAUGAGGCACAGAAAUCUUUUGAGGAGUUUAUUCGUCUAUGUACGAACUUAAUUUGGUAGUUCAACACAACAUAUUUGUAUUGCAAAGCAUUGUUGAUUGUAUAUCUAUAUGAUCGCUUCCAAUGAAUUGCGUGUUGCUGAA